ensembl:lncRNA
CCUCAAAACAAUAGGGAGGGUUCGGGUGGGCGUCUGUCCAUGGUGGCGGCUCCGGCGCGGGACGUGGACCCCACUCAGUCAAUGUCUUAGUCCCUUCUCCUCGCGUCCCUGGAUAGUCCACCCUCGCCGCCGAUCAUGGCCUAGUAGUCCUCACCCAGAACCCCACUGGACUGAGGAGCAGAUCGGGACUGAGGGGAAGCUCUGGACUGAGGGGAAGCUCGGGACUGAGAGAAAGCUCGGGAGUGAGAGGAAGCUCGGGAGUGAGAGGAAGCUCGGGAGUGAGAGGAAGCUCAGGCAGGUUGAUGGAUCUACCAGAUCCUGGCCGGCUGGCGGAUCCUGGUCGACUGGCGGAUCCUGGCCGACUGGCGGAUCCUGGCCGACUGGCGGAUCCUGGCAGAUUCCGGCUGACUGGCGGAUCUGGAAGAGUCUGGUUGACUGGCAGAUCUGGAAGAGUCUGGUUGACUGGCAGAUCUGGAAGAGUCUGGUUGACUAGCAGAUCUGGAAGAGUCUGGUUGACUAGCAGAUCUGGAAGAGUCUGGCUGACUGGCAGAUCUGGUUGACUGGCGGAUCUGGAAGAGUCUGGUUGACUGGCGGAUCUGGAAGAGUCUGGCUGACUGGCGGAUCUGGAAGAGUCUGGCUGACUGGCGGAUCUGGAAGAGUCUGGCUGACUGGCGGAUCGGGAAGAGUCUGGCUGACUGGCGGAUCGGGAAGAGUCUGGCUGACUGGCGGAUCGGGAAGAGUCUGGCUGACUGGCGGAUCGGGAAGAGUCUGGCUGACUGGCGGAUCGGGAAGAACUGAAAGAUCUGGCUGCUCCAUGCUGACUGGCGGCUCUGGUUGCUCCAUGUAGGCUGACGGCUCUGGCGGCUUCUUACAGACUGGCAGCUCUGGCGGCUCCGUGCAGACUGGCAGCUCCUUGCAGACUGACAGCUCCUUGCAGACUGGCAGCUCCGUGCAGACUGGCAGCUCCGUGCAGACUGGCAGCUCCUUGCAGACUGGCAGCUCCUUGCAGACUGGCAGCUCUGGCUGCUUCAUGCAGACCGGCAGCUCUG